AUUGAACGCUGGCGGCAGGCCUAACACAUGCAAGUCGAGCGGAUGAAGGGAGCUUGCUCCUGGACUCAGCGGCGGACGGGUGAGUAAUGCCUAGGAAUCUGCCUGGUAGUGGGGGAUAACGUCCGGAAACGGGCGCUAAUACCGCAUACGUCCUGAGGGAGAAAGUGGGGGAUCUUCGGACCUCACGCUAUCAGAUGAGCCUAGGUCGGAUUAGCUAGUUGGUGGGGUAAAGGCCUACCAAGGCGACGAUCCGUAACUGGUCUGAGAGGAUGAUCAGUCACACUGGAACUGAGACACGGUCCAGACUCCUACGGGAGGCAGCAGUGGGGAAUAUUGGACAAAGGGCGAAAGCCUGAUCCAGCCAUGCCGCGUGUGUGAAGAAGGUCUUCGGAUUGUAAAGCACUUUAAGUUGGGAGGAAGGGCAGUAAGUUAAUACCUUGCUGUCUUGACGUUACCAACAGAAUAAGCACCGGCUAACUUCGUG
rnacentral:rRNA from 1 species